GGUUGUGCCAUGGUCGUGUCCGGGACCAAUAUCGCCUGGGAGUGGGCGUGCAAGGGACUAACCACCUUCGAAAAGCACGCGACGUACAGCGGGUUCCGCCAAGCC
rnacentral:ribozyme from 1 species